rnacentral:rRNA from 1 species
AACGUAGGUACCGAGCGUUAUCCGGAUUUACUGGGCGUAAAGCGUGUUCAGGCGGCCUGGCAAGUCGGGCAUGAAAUCUCUCGGCUCAACCGGGAGAGGCUGUCCGAUACUGCUGGGCUUGAGGACGGUAGAGGGUGGUGGAAUUCCGCGUGUAGUGGUGAAAUGCGUAGAUAUGCGGAGGAACACCAGUGGCGAAGGCGGGUCUCUGGGCCGAUACUGACGCUGAGACGCGAAAGCGUGGGGAGCAAACAGG